CUUUCUGAAGACUAGCAAGAAACAUUUAUUUAUCACCUAUGUUUUUAGCUUUGACCUGUAAUAUUUGUUUUUAUUAGGUUUUAAAAUAUGUAGCUAUAAGUAAUUAAGUUCAAAUAUAAAUUUUGCUGACAAUGGUAUAAUUUAAGAAGUGAUAGACACCGUGAGAAGGAGGUUAUCUGAAGCUAGAUGGUUUGCAGCUUAUCUGUCUAUUGAGCAGCACGAUUUUGGACCCAGUUCUGCCACUGGAAAGAUGAAGUCAUAGAAUUUCAUUCACUGAGCUGAGUCAGAAAUGAAUGAGGUGGUCUAUGUGAAAAGCACUUUGGGUAGAGCAGAUAUCUAACUAUAGUUUCAUGUGAUCAUAAAAGUCUCUGGGACAAUAGAGCUCUUAACAGCAUUUAAACUGAAGGAAGAUGCUGCCAAUGGUGUAGGGUUUUUGUUUUUGUUUUUUUUUUGGGUUUUUUUUGCAACAGAAGGAGUAGCAAGUAUAGCCAUGGUCACUGCAGAACUAGGUGACAGGUGGUCCCCCACGAGCCUCAGAACACAAGUGAAAGAACAGAUGUGUGGGGGAUGUAGGCGAAAGCAGCCGUAGUCUGACUGACGCCUUGUAGAUGGGAGCAUUGCAAUAUUCUUAGGUCAAAGGACAGUGGGCCAAUCCGAAAAUAAUGGCGACACUCAGAAGAGCUCUACAGAUUCCUGUCAGUGGGCUGGGGAGUGUUGAAAUAGUGGGAUGGGGGCCUGGCCUGUUACUAUACACCUUUUGAAAUUAAUGAGGAAAAACAUAGCACUGGGAAGUAAUUGCUAGAAUUGAAUCCAGAUUGCACAGGAUAGGCAUGAGACAUAAAGAAGAGGCAGCUAAAAUAACUGUUGGGAGGAAAAGCCUGUAAAUCUAGAUGCAUACAUAUAUGCCUCCAUAUUCAUUUAAAUCACAGGGAAUGGAAGGGAGCUAGAAAGAUGGAGCCAUUUUCUAGAGCAACCCUUCCUUCAAGACAGUGACUUCACGGAAAGUCAAAUGUAAGAAUGCAGUCGGUUCCUGAUGGUAAAAUAAGAGAGCAGCUCCUCACAGACAGGAGCACAGAAGGCACUGCAAGGCCCCUGCGACAUCACCCUUGAAAAGGCAGUCAGCGCAUUUCUGAGUUCCAGGCCAGCCUGGUCUACAAAGUUCCAGGACAGCCAGGGCUACACAGAGAAACCCUGUCUUGAAAAACCAAAAAAAAAAAAAAAAAAAAAAAAGGAAAAGGUAAAAGAAAGAAAGAAAGAAAGGAAGGAAGGAAAGGAAGGAAGGAAAGGAAGGAAGGAAGGAAGGAAGGAAGGAAGGAAGGAAGGAAGAAAAAAAAAAGACAAGACAGUAACGUGGAGAAUAGAGUUUGCAGUGAUGCCCGUGGUCUCAGAAGUGGAGCAAGGAGCAAAACAAAGCAAAGCAGAGAAAGGAGGUAGGAAAGAUGAAAGCAGGAGGCAAUUAGUCUAAGGGCAAGAAAUUCAAAAGCUGCUUGGCAUGGUGAGGAUGCUCAGGGAAACAGUCCAUUAGCCAACCUCCUAAGAGACAGGAGAGGCAUGGAGGAAACUUUAAGUGAGACGGAGAAUGGGUUGUUAAACAACUGUUUCCAGUUGCCAGAGGAAUCUCACACAAAUUAAGAGAUGAAGUUUUUAGAGAAAAAUACUAAGUAAUAAAAUUUAAUACAGAGACUACAACUGCCAUACUGAAAUGCAAAUAGAAGACCAUUGUACAGGCUUGGGGGACUGAGGACUCUCAAUGUUGCUUUAAUAAUUUCAGAAGCUAGAGAAGGGGUCUUGAAUCUUAAAUUACUACAUAAAGGAAAUGUUUUUCCAUAUUUACUUUGUAUAGUUGGUAUAAUAACAGUGAUUCGAAAACCACAAUAAAGAUGAUAAAGAUUGUGUGAAAAAGGAGAUAUUUGGUAAGUGUGGCUUGCUCCUGUCUCCAGAGCCCAGGCAGUCGCUCUUUCAGGAGCGUUUGCCCCUCCGUCCUGAGGCCUGAGUUGAAUCUGCAGCACUCAGGUCAAACUGGUCCUGAGGUUGAGCCCUUGUUCCCAGCUCAGGGAAGGCAGAGCGAGGCAGAUUGCUGGUGUGUUGGUUAGCCAGCCCAGCCUAACUGAUGAGCUGCAAAUCCCCUGUCUAGAAAAUAAGGUGGGGCAGAUGAGCUGUUUCAGUUAGUGGAGGCUCUUGCUCUACAAGCCUGGCAACCUGGAUUUGAUUUCCUAGAACCUGUGUAAAGUGGAGGGAGAAAACCAACUCCACAGAGUUGUCCUAUGACCUCCAUAUGCAUGCCCAUGACAUGUGUUACCCCCCACCCCACACACACACGCACACAAAUACCAAACUUUAAUCCAACGUGAAAAGCUGAAAAACAGCUGAGGUUGACCUCAAGCCUUCACAUAUCUGCAAAUACAAACAUAAGUAUCAAUUAUCAAUACAAGUUAUUCAGUAAUUUGUUAGGCCCACAGCUCAGUCGCACUUGAAAGAAAGAAUAAAAUCAUGGCUCAUUUGAGUUUAUGUUAGGAGUGCAAGGAUAAUUCAAUUUUAGACAGUCUUAAUCUGGUGUUAAAAGACAUUUGAUUUGAUAGAAUUAAGCACUCCUAUUAGGAGCUGAUCUAUAAUUCACUGGCAUGGCAACUCCUCCCUAGAGGCAAGCUUCUUACCAUUGAAACCAAAGAGCCUUUCUGACAGAGCCAGGCUAUGCUUAACUGUCUCCUCUACUACUUAACACCACACUGGGACUUUUCACCAAGGAAGUCAGAGAAAAGACACGAAUCAGGAAGGGCUCAAGCUUGGCACAUAGGAUCAUCUACUUGAAAAAACAAACCAAAAAAGAAGCUAAGUGGCUGCUGUAGUUACCAUGCAGGCAGCAGUAGGAUUUAGCAGACCUGGGCAUAAGGCCUUCAUUUCCACAGUUUCAGAUUGGGCUAAGUGGUGUCUGAAAUCUCUCUCUUUCAGCAACUUCCUCCCUGCCCAAAAGUAAACGCUAUCAGGACUGGCUCGAUCAGGACUGGCUAGGGCCACCUGUUUGUGUACAACGUGUGCUCUGUACAAGUGCAGCCAUGUGGAAUACACUGGAUUUUACUUGGCUUCUUUGCCCUCGAAGAGAACGCAAGGGCUCUCUGGUGCUGGUAGUGUUUGUUUUUGAUCUAGGUGCUGGUUACAUGGGUGCAUUCUACAUUUUAUGAGUAUUUACCAAGCUGUUCAAUCAGUCAUGCUUUGCGUGCUGUUCUGUAUUGUAAAUACAAUUCAAUAAAAAUGUUUAGUUUAAAAAGAUUAUCUAUCUACCUACAUUCAUAUCUAUCUACAUAAACCUAAACAGUUUAGAAGACAAACUGCAAGACCUCUCUUUGUGAUUACUGAAACCGAAAGACUUGUGUAUGAACUCAAUAAAACAUGUCU
rnacentral:lncRNA from 1 species